GAUGAAGAACGCAGCGAAAUGCGAUAAGUAAUGUGAAUUGCAGAAUUCAGUGAAUCAUCGAAUCUUUGAACAGACAUUGCGCCCGCCAGUAUUCUGGCGGGCAUGCCUGUUCGAGCGUCAUUACAACCCUCAGGCCCCCGGGCCUGGCGUUGGGGAUCGGCGGAAGCCCCCUGCGGGCACAACGCCGUCCCCCAAAUACAGUGGCGGUCCCGCCGCAGCUUCCAUUGCGUAGUAGCUAACACCUCGCAACUGGAGAGCGGCGCGGCCACGCCGUAAAACACCCAACUUCUGAAUGUUGACCUCGAAUCAGGUAGGAAUACCCGCUGAACUUAAGCAUAUCAAUAAGCGGAGGA
rnacentral:misc_RNA from 1 species